UGAACAUUGACAAUUCGAACGCACAUUGCGAGCCUAUA
rnacentral:rRNA from 1 species